rnacentral:rRNA from 1 species
CCCUACAUAUGGGGGAGUAACAGUCGGAAACGACUGCUAAUACCGCAUAGGGCAUAGGAUCACAUGAUCCAGUGAGGAAAGGUGGCGCAAGCUAUCGCUAAGAGAUGGACCCGCGGUGCAUUAGCUAGUUGGUAGGGUAAAGGCCUACCAAGGCGAUGAUGCAUAGCCGACCUGAGAGGGUGAUCGGCCACAUUGGGACUGAGACACGGCCCAA